rnacentral:rRNA from 1 species
AGUGGGUGUAACGUACCCACUAGCCUACGACGGGUACGGGUUGUGAGAGCAAGAGCCCGGAGAUGGAUUCUGAGACAUGAAUCCAGGCCCUACGGGGUGCAGCAGGCGCGAAAACUUUACAAUGCGGGCAACCGCGAUAAGGGGACCUCGAGUGCUGGGUUACAAACCUGGCUGUUGGGCUGCCUAAAAAGCAGUCUAUAGCAAGGGCCGGGCAAGACCGGUGCCAGCCGCCGCGGUAACACCGGCGGCUCGAGUGGUAACCGCUAUUAUUGGGUCUAAAGGGUCUGUAGCCGGCCGACUAAGUCUCUUGGGAAAUCUGGCAUCUCAAGUGUCAGGCUGCCAGGGGAUACUGGUCGGCUUGGGACCGGGAGAGGUGAGAGGUACCUCGGGGGUAGGGGUGAAAUCUUGUAAUCCUCGAGGGACCACCAGUGGCGAAGGCGUCUCACCAGAACGGAUCCGACGGCAAGGGACGAAAGCUAGGGGCACGAACCGGAUUAGAU